rnacentral:rRNA from 1 species
UGGGCCCGAGUUUGAUCAUGGCUCAGAGCGAACGCUGGCGGCAGGCCUAACACAUGCAAGUCGAGCGGCCGUAGCAAUACGGCAGCGGCAGACGGGAGAGUAACACGUGGGAACGUGCCCUUUAGUUCGGAAUAACGCAGGGAAACUUGCGCUAAUACCGGAUAAGCCCUUACGGGGAAAGAUUUAUCGCCAUUGGAGCGGCCCGCGUCUGAUUAGCUAGUUGGUGAGGUAACGGCUCACCAAGGCUACGAUCAGUAGCUGGUCUGAGAGGAUGAUCAGCCUCACUGGGACUGAGACACGGCCCAGACUCCUACGGGAGGCAGCAGUGGGGAAUAUUGGACAAUGGGCGCAAGCCUGAUCCAGCCAUGCCGCGUGGAUGAUGAAGGCCUUAGGGUUGUAAAGUCCUUUUAGCGGGGAAGAUAAUGACGGUACCCGCAGAAAAAGCCCCGGCUAACUACGUGCCAGCAGCCGCGGUG